rnacentral:rRNA from 1 species
AGUGAACGCUGGCGGUAGGCCUAACACAUGCAAGUCGAACGGCAGCACAGUAAGAGCUUGCUCUUACGGGUGGCGAGUGGCGGACGAGUGAGGAAUACAUCGGAAUCUACUUUUUCGUGGGGGAUAACGUAGGGAAACUUACGCUAAUACCGCAUACGACCUACGGGUGAAAGCAGGGGAUCUUCGGACCUUGCGCGAUUGAAUGAGCCGAUGUCGGAUUAGCUAGUUGGCGGGGUAAAGGCCCACCAAGGCGACGAUCCGUAGCUGGUCUGAGAGGAUGAUCAGCCACACUGGAACUGAGACACGGUCCAGACCCCUACGGGAGGCAGCAGUGGGGAAUAUUGGACAAUGGGCGCAAGCCUGAUCCAGCCAUACCGCGUGGGUGAAGAAGGCCUUCGGGUUGUAAAGCCCUUUUGUUGGGAAAGAAAAGCAGCAGGUUAAUACCCCGCUGUUCUGACGGUACCCAAAGAAUAAGCACCGGCUAACUUCGUG